AUGCUGGAGCUUGCUUCAAAGGGCACUACCAUUUCCGAAAAGGGCUUUAAGAAGGCAGUUGCUAAAACUCGAAGGAGGACAAAAAGCGCAAGAGAUGCCGCAAAGAGAGCUAUUCUAUUUACAUCUACAAGCUGCUGAAGCAGGUCCACGCGGACACUGGAAUCUCUUCCAAGGCCAUGAGUAUCAUGAAUUCUUUUGUUAGUGACAUUUUUGAGCGCAUUGCCUGUGAGGCUUCCCGCCUGGCGCAUUAUGACAAGCGCUCGACCAUCACCUCCAGGGAGAUCCAGACGGCCGUGCGCCUGCUGCUGCCUGGGGAACUAGCCAAGCACGUUGUGUCGGAGGGCACCAAGGCUGUCACCAAGUACACUAGCUCCAAGUAA
rnacentral:lncRNA from 1 species